CUUAUCUAUGCAGCGUUAUUAUUGUCAGUCCGUAAAAAUACUGACAAAAGAAGAAAGUAAACAAGUUUGAAAUUAAACUGCAUUCCGUGUUCUAAGCUGAGAAAAUAGGUGAGAUGACAAAAAUCAGAUGAAUUCCUUAUUAUUACAAUCCACGGGAGUCUAUUUGGAAUGCGAGUCUGAGAAUGUACUCUGGACCAACUUCACCUGCUACAUUUUUGUUUGUUCUAAGAGAAACCGAAGAAUAAUCAGAUGUGAAGAUGCCUCAGGGAAACACAGAGUUAUGGAAAUCAUCAAUUCUCCUCUCAGAAUGACUGAGGAGAGCAUCAAGAUCACAAAAUCUUUUCUUCCAACUUCUCCAAGUAAAAGAGUGGUCCGCAUGUUACAAAGGCUGUUUACUUCAAAGUAAUAUGAACAGAUAUGUAAGUAAAAAUUAAAUGGCACUCUGACUGAAACACUGCUAAUCUCUGAUGCUUAGAAUGCAGAAGACAAUCACUCAUCUUAACCAAAGUAUUUG
rnacentral:lncRNA from 1 species